GACAGAGGGUGCAAACGUUGUUCGGAUUUACUGGGCGUAAAGCGCGUGUAGGCGGCCUUGCAAGUUGGAUGUGAAAGCCCACGGCUCAACCGUGGAAGCGCAUCCAAAACUGCAUCGCUCGAGUCUCGGAGAGGAAGGUGGAAUGCUUGGUGUAGAGGUGAAAUUCGUAGAUAUCAAGCAGAACACCUGCGGCGAAGGCGGCCUUCUGGACGAUGACUGACGCUGAGACGCGAAAGCCAGGGGAGCGAACGGG
rnacentral:rRNA from 1 species